AGGGUUUCAAUGUGUUGAGUUCUUUGUUUGGUUUCUUGUUCCGGUCAAUUUCUUGAUUCCUUGCAGCACAGUCUGGAGUGGGAUUUAAAUCAUGUCGCUACUGGUUGUUGUAAAGAUCUCUAACGCCUCACAGCUUGAAGGUAUUAAGUAUGGAUCUGCACCAGUAUCAAUAACCAUGAGAUCAUAUGUGUUGUAAAGACUUCGAAUCUGACUCUAGGUAGCUGAGACUUGGGAGGCAUGCAGAAGCUCUUCACAAGCUUUUCAUUCCUGAUCAUGGAUCAACGAAACAAGGAUCUGAGUGGUAUUGCCUCUCAUGGCAUUGGCCACCAAUGGUUACAUCAAACUUGAACAAAAGUCUGAGGGGAUCCUUCAGGUAAAAGGAUGCAUGAUGGCCCAAGUGUUGCUGAAUGCUCGGAAGCUGCAGAACUCAAUGUACAUAACAUAUAGAUCAAGGUGUAUAUAUGUACAAGGAAGGGUUGACUGACUACUCGAAACGGUACAAAAUAAAUGGUAUGUAUUGGUUCAUAAGCUGAUCGUGGACUAAGUAUCGAUCGGUACGAAUGAUGUAUCAGUUGAUACGAUCGAAACUCAUUAUAUUUAUGGAUUGGUAUCGUUUGAAAU